GUUUGCUUCACUAAAAAUUUUGACCACCAGCCGCCACUGUUUCCGAGGUCAACAGGAUAUCACGAGACCUGUUACAGCGGAAAUUUAUCCAAGCGCCGCACGGGGCUAAUUUCUUUUUGACAAGCUCAGCCCGGCGCACAGAAGCAUCCGGAGUCUCUGUGGACAGGCCCGGCCUUAGGGUAAGACCGGACGAUGUCCAGGCUGAAUUCAAGGGCAUCUUGCUCAGGCACGACAGCUUCGUCAGGCCCGGCAGCUCGUCCAGGUACAUCCAUGCCUGCCAAAGGACACAUUUAUAAAAUACACUUUUAAAUAAAAAAUUUGUAUACUCACCCUCCUGAUCCUUGUUAAAUACCCUGAUGUGAGAGUUGUAGCCUGGUGGUCUAGCAGCUUCUCUGCCAUCCACUAACCUAUGGACUUUUUUUAUGAACUUUGACUUAUGGGACUAUUUACUUAUGUAUUAUGAACUCUGUUGCUUCUGAUGAACUGUUCCUACCUGAAAUGGCACCUGGAGAAGCGCUGACCUCGUCACCUGAAGCCUGGGGAGGAGGACGGUCUGUGGAAUAGGUUCCGGAGAAGUCCUUUUCCUCAAACGCGGAGGGUUUAAAAGGUCAGAUCCCUUGACUAGAGAACCCGGAGGUGAUGUUCUCCACUGUUGCAGCCUCUGGUGGGACGGGUGAUUGUCCAGCAGCCGGAGCAGCUUCGACUCCUUGGACACAGGUGUGACUGGUGAAGUGGGCCAGGUACAGGAGGAAGUCUGGCUCCUUCCUCCAGCCAGUUGGGUUGGCGGUGCCAGCACAGCCAACGGGUCCACCCCUCAUGAAGUGGUCUUCGAACCGCCUACGGGGGAAGAUAAAGAAUGGCGGAACAACGUCGCCCUGCGCAUUGCCUGCCAGGGCAACUGUGACCAGGGUCCCCCUCUCCGCUGAGGUCACCGACCCGACCUGCUUCUGCCCCAUCUGGGCGACGACACGGUCUGGCACCUGGACAGUGGUGACCCCUGUAAAUAGUUGCGUGAGCAUAGUUGUGUAUAUAUAUAGUUAUGUGUACUGUGUAUAUAGUUGUUUUUAUGUGUAUAUAGUUGUUAGCAUAGUUUCUAUUUAGAUAUUUAGUUAUGUGUAUAUCGGUUUUUUUAGAGCUGUCAAGCGAUUAAAAUAUUUAAUCGUGAUUAAUCGCAUUAAUGUCAUAGUUAACUAAUUAAUCGCGAUUAAUCGCAAAUUAUUUUUCUAUGCUAAAUAUCCCUUGAUUUUUUUGUCACAUAAUCCUUCUCAUUUUAAUUCUCUUAUCAACAUGGUGAAGUGCAUCGGCUUGCCUUGUGCAAAUGAUUUUUUAUUGAUAACAACAUUGGCAUAUACACUGAUCAAAACAGGACGAUACAAAAAAAGAGCCUAUGGUGCAAUUAAACGACUGCUUUGAACAAAUGUCAUUUGAACAUAGCAGUCAGGCUACUGCUUCUUUGUUUUGAGCCAAAGAAAUUUUUUUUUUUUUUUUUUUUUUUUCUAUAAAAUAAUUGCGUUAAUCGCGAUAAAAAAAUAAACGCCGUUAAAUUUGGUUAGCGUUAACGGCGUUAAUAACGCGUUUAACUGACAGCUCUAGUUUUUUUCAUAUUUAUAUAGUUGUGAGCAUAGUUUAUUUUUUAUAAAUGUAGUUAUGUGUAUAUAGUUGUGUUUUAUAUUAAUACAGUUCAUAUUAAAUACCGGUUUCAUUAAUGUUCCAAAUAUCCUUGGCCUGGAACUGGUGCCGGUCCAUCACCGUCUUUCAAUUCUGGUAGAAUUAGUUGACAUUGUUUUGAUUGAAGCUGGACAACCGUUGUUGGCUAGUGGCCUCUGGACGCCGAUGGGGGAGGCUGCUACUGCGCUCCAUGAAGGAGGUGAACCAGUCCUUCCUCGACCAGGAUGCAGGGAAUGGGCAGCUGAAAUGCACGGGGUUGUAAAAAGUUGUGUGUGUUUAUGUUAUUUGUUCAUAUUUAUUAAUUAAAGUAUGUGCAUAGCAUACAUGUGUGCCUGUCCAAAAAUGUAUGUAGCCCUUUUCACAACACUGACCUCAUUUGGGGUGAGCCCAAUAUGAAUGGCUUCACUGCCCUCCUCUGCCCUCCCCUUGAGGUAGCGUGACAACGUGAACAUGAUGUUGUCCCAUGCAGGAACCAGCCCACGGGAGGUGGUUCUCCUUCUGACGCGUGGCAUUUUUCCUCUCAGUAAUCUGUUGAUGCA
ensembl:lncRNA